AGAGUUUGAUCCUGGCUCAGGAUGAACGCUAGCGGGAGGCUUAACACAUGCAAGUCGAGGGGUAACGAUAUCUUCGGAUAGUCGACGACCGGCGCACGGGUGAGUAACAGGUAUGCAACCUACCCUUAACAGGAGGAUAGCCCGAAGAAAUUCGGAUUAAUACUCCAUAACAUUUGUAAAUCGCAUGAUUUACUUUUUAAAGCUCCGGCGGUUAAGGAUGGGCAUGCUUAAUAUUAGCUAGUUGGUAAGGUAACGGCUUACCAAGGCUACGAUAUUUAGGGGUUCUGAGAGGACGAUCCCCCACACUGGUACUGAGACACGGACCAGACUCCUACGGGAGGCAGCAGUGAGGAAUAUUGGUCAAUGGGCGCAAGCCUGAACCAGCCAUCCCGCGUGUAGGAUGACGGCCUUAUGGGUUGUAAACUACUUUUAUAUAGGAAGAAACUUUUCUACGUGUAGAAAACUGACUGUACUAUACGAAUAAGCAUCGGCUAACUCCGUGCCAGCAGCCGCGGUAAUACGGAGGAUGCAAGCGUUAUCCGGAUUUAUUGGGUUUAAAGGGUGUGUAGGCGGAUUAAUAAGUCAGUGGUGAAAUCCUACAGCUUAACUGUAGAACUGCCAUUGAUACUGUUAACCUUGAGUAUAGUUGAGGUAGGCGGAAUGUGUUGUGUAGCGGUGAAAUGCUUAGAUAUAACACAGAACACCGAUUGCGAAGGCAGCUUACUAAACUAUUACUGACGCUGAGGCACGAAAGCGUGGGGAGCGAACAGGAUUAGAUACCCUGGUAGUCCACGCCGUAAACUAUGAUUACUCGUUGUGCGCAAUACACCGUGCGCGACUAAGCGAAAGCAUUAAGUAAUCCACCUGGGGAGUACGAUCGCAAGAUUGAAACUCAAAGGAAUUGACGGGGGCCCGCACAAGCGGAGGAACAUGUGGUUUAAUUCGAUGAUACGCGAGGAACCUUACCUGGGCUUAAAUGUAGAACGACAGAUCGGGAAACUGAUCUUUCUUCGGACGGACUACAAGGUGCUGCAUGGUUGUCGUCAGCUCGUGCCGUGAGGUGUCGGGUUAAGUCCCAUAACGAGCGCAACCCCUAUCGUUAGUUGCUAGCAGGUAAUGCUGAGGACUCUAGCGAAACUGCCACCGUAAGGUGUGAGGAAGGUGGGGAUGACGUCAAAUCAGCACGGCCCUUAUGUCCAGGGCUACACACGUGUUACAAUGGUCGGUACAAAGGGCAGCUACCUGGUGACAGGAUGCUAAUCUCCAAAACCGAUCCUAGUUCGGAUCGCAGUCUGCAACUCGACUGCGUGAAGUUGGAUUCGCUAGUAAUCGCGCAUCAGCCACGGCGCGGUGAAUACGUUCCCGGGCCUUGUACACACCGCCCGUCAAGCCAUGGAAGUUGGGGGUACCUAAAGUCCGUAACCGUAAGGAGCGGCCUAGGGUAAAACCGAUAACUAGGGCUAAGUCGGAACAAGGU
rnacentral:rRNA from 1 species